UACGUAGGGUGCAAGCGUUUAAUCGGAAUUACUGGGCGUAAAGCGUGCGCAGGCGGUUUUGUAAGUCAGAUGUGAAAUCCCCGGGCUUAACCUGGGAACUGCGUUUGAAACUACAAGGCUAGAGUGUGACAGAGGGGGGUGGAAUUCCACGUGUAGCAGUGAAAUGCGUAGAUAUGUGGAGGAACACCGAUGGCGAAGGCAGCCCCCUGGGUCAAGACUGACGCUCAUGCACGAAAGCGUGGGGAGCAAACAGG
rnacentral:rRNA from 1 species